rnacentral:rRNA from 1 species
GACAGAGGGGGCAAGCGUUGCUCGGAAUUACUGGGCGUAAAGGGCUCGUAGGUGGCCAACUAAGUCAGACGUGAAAUCCCUCGGCUUAACCUGGGAACUGCAUCCGAUACUGGAUGGCUUGAAUCCGGGAGAGGGAUGCGGAAUUCCAGGUGUAGCGGUGAAAUGCGUAGAUAUCAGGAAGAACACCCGUGGCGAAAGCGGCUCUCUGGAACGGUACUGACGCUGAGGUGCGAAAAGCGUGGGGAGCAAACAGG